UACGAAGGGUGCAAACGUUGCUCGGAAUUAUUGGGCGUAAAGGGCGCGUAGGCGGCCGGACAAGUGGAAGGUGAAAUCCCCGAGCUCAACUCGGGAACUGCCCUCCAAACUGUUUGGCUUGAGUCCGGGAGAGGUGAGUGGAAUUCCCAGUGUAGCGGUGAAAUGCGUAGAUAUUGGGAGGAACACCAGUGGCGAAGGCGGCUCACUGGACCGGAACUGACGCUGAGGCGCGAAAGCGUGGGGAGCAAACAGG
rnacentral:rRNA from 1 species